rnacentral:rRNA from 1 species
GCAAGUCGAGCGCGGGAAGCAGGCAGAUCCUCUUCGGAGGUGACGCCUGUGGAACGAGCGGCGGACGGGUGAGUAACACGUGGGCAACCUGCCUGUAAGAUUGGGAUAACCCCGGGAAACCGGGGCUAAUACCGGAUAAUACUUUUCGUUGCAUAACGAGAAGUUGAAAGGCGGCUUUUAGCUGUCACUUACAGAUGGGCCCGCGGCGCAUUAGCUAGUUGGUAAGGUAACGGCUUACCAAGGCGACGAUGCGUAGCCGACCUGAGAGGGUGAUCGGCCACACUGGGACUGAGACACGGCCCAGACUCCUACGGGAGGCAGCAGUAGGGAAUCUUCCGCAAUGGACGAAAGUCUGACGGAGCAACGCCGCGUGAGUGAUGAAGGUUUUCGGAUCGUAAAACUCUGUUGUCAGGGAAGAACAAGUGCCGUUCAAAUAGGGCGGCACCUUGACGGUACCUGACCAGAAAGCCCCGGCUAACUACGUGCCAGCAGCCGCGGUAAUACGUAGGGGGCAAGCGUUGUCCGGAAUUAUUGGGCGUAAAGCGCGCGCAGGCGGUCCUUUAAGUCUGAUGUGAAAGCCCACGGCUUAACCGUGGAGGGCCAUUGGAAACUGGAGGACUUGAGUACAGAAGAGGAGAGUGGAAUUCCACGUGUAGCGGUGAAAUGCGUAGAGAUGUGGAGGAACACCAGUGGCGAAGGCGACUCUCUGGUCUGUAACUGACGCUGAGGUGCGAAAGCGUGGGGAGCGAACAGGAUUAGAUACCCUGGUAGUCCACGCCGUAAACGAUGAGUGCUAGGUGUUAGGGGGUUUCCGCCCCUUAGUGCUGAAGUUAACGCAUUAAGCACUCCGCCUGGGGAGUACGGCCGCAAGGCUGAAACUCAAAAGAAUUGACGGG